UUUUCCUAUUUCUCUUUAGUAAGAUAGAGGUAGCUGGUGGUGUUGUUUUCCAUUGAUGAAGAAUUGACUACACAGCAUAUUUUGGGCUUUCUAAGUCCAUGGUAAUGGUCUUCUGCACAUUAGCACGGUUGCUAUCUAGCUUCUGCAUAAGUUUUGAGAGCUGGCCUUUGGCAAAAGCACUUCUUUGAAUCCCUUCCAACACUGAUGGCUCUGGCAAUUAUAGUGGACUAGCAUUAAUAGAUUUCUUUAAUCAAUCUGUUGUUGCUAUUUAUUUACUUCUUUCAGUCAUAUUUUGUAAACGAUUAAAGAACUGGGUCUUACCAAGAAGGAAGGAUGACUUGCAAUACUCUUCAAUUGUGUUCUGUAUUGAUGAGGAUUUUUUAUGUUAUGCUUGUUAAUUGGCAUGCAGAUUCUGCUGAUUGAUUAAUCAAUUUUUG
rnacentral:misc_RNA from 1 species